UGGUGGAGCGAUUUGUCUGGUUAAUUCCGAUAACGAACGAGACUCUGGCCUAUUAAAUAGUUCGCCGAUUCCGAUCUAUCGGCGUUAACUUCUUAGAGGGACAAGUGGCUUUUAGCCACGCGAGAUUGAGCAAUAACA
rnacentral:rRNA from 1 species